rnacentral:rRNA from 1 species
UGAGUAAUCUGCCCUCGACACCGGGAUAGCCCGGGGAAACCCGGAUUAAUACCGGAUAGCCUUUCGAGCUCUCGGGCUCGUCAGAAAAGGAUGGCUUCGGCUUUCGGUUGAGGAUGAGCUUGCGGCGGAUUAGCUUGUUGGUGGGGUAACGGCUCACCAAGGCGACGACGAGUAGCCGGCCUGAGAGGGUGACCGGCCACACUGGGACUGAGACACGGCCCAGACCUCCGUACGGGAGGCAG